GCCCGGCUAGCUCAAUCGGCAGAGCGUGAGACUCUUACGAAAGAAAUCUUAAGGUUGCGGGUCCGACCCCCGCGUUGGGCU